rnacentral:lncRNA from 1 species
UCUGUUCUCAAGUAGAAUAUUAGUUAAGAGAAGAGGGCAGGUUAGGGUCUGGCCUCUUGAUUCAUCAAAGAGAAUUGUCCUAAAUAUUAUCCCUUUUAUUAAGGGAUUGGGUUUUUUUUUUUUCAACUGUUCCUAUUUUUUUUUUUGGUUUUUGAAUAAUUUAAAUAAAAAUCUGUAGACAAUCUGGGAAACUUCAGUGGUAAAACCUGCACCGCAUAAUGGUUGGUGUGUAAUGUCAUGGUAUAUGUAUUUUGGUUGUUAGGUUCAAAGAUUCAUAUUUUUUUUUUGACAUGCUUACUUUUUAGAAGUGUUUUUUUUUGAGAUGGAGUUUUCGCUUUUGUCGCCCAGGCUGGAGUGCAAUGGCAUGAUCUCAGCUUACUGCAACCUCUGCCUCCUGGGUUCAGGCAGUUCUCCUGCCUCAGCCUCCCGAGUAGCUGGGAUUUACAGGUGCCUGCCACCAUGCCCAGCUAAUUUUUGUAUUUUCAGUAGAGACGGGAUCUCACCAUGUUGGCCAGGCUGGCCUCAGAUGAUCCACCUGCCUCGGCCUCCCAAAGUGCUGGGAUUACAGAUGUAAGCCACUGUGCCUGGCCUAGAAGUGUCUUAUGGUGAUUUUUUGAUGAAUGUUCAUAUGAUUUUUCAGGUCAGAUGCUGCUGAAGUAUAUCCUUAGGCCGCUGGCAUCUUGCCCAUCCCUUCAUGCUGUGAUAGAAAGCCAGCCUAACAUAGUUAUUAUUCGUUUUGAAUCUAUAAUGACUAACUUGGAAUAUCCAUCACCAUCUGAAGUUUUUACAAAGAUCAGACUGGUACUAGAAGUGCUCCAGAAACAGCUUCUAGGUAUGUGUCUCCAAGGCAGUGCUUUUAUAUUUUGGAAACUAAAUAUUGUUUAUAAAAGUAAAUAUUAUUUUAAAGUAGAAAUGCCUAUAAUGUGUGAGAAAGGAGGAUGAAAAGUAAGUAAAUUGUGCCAUAGGGGCAAAAGAGUUGCCUUCUUGUUUUUUUGCCUAUUUUGCAUUCCUUCUCUGCAUUGUAUUGACAAGUAGGGCCAUCAGUGGUACCCCAGAUUCUGUAUUUGUGAUAUUAUUUUAGUUGAAUUCUAGGAUGCACUUCUCUCACUGGACUCCCAGUACCGUCACAAAUUGGAACUCGUGCUUUAAUUAUAGGAGAAGAAGAAAUGAACCAAGUGUUGUUUUACAUAUUUCCAUUAAAACCUCUAUUAAUCUGAUAUAACCAAACUUAGUUUAACAUAGGAAAUAAAUUCUAUUUCAGCCUGUUGAUCUUGGUGUAUUCACACUAGACACAGCCAGUUUCUGUAUUCCAUAAAUCAUGUUUUUGGUUGUUGUACCAUUAAAAGUGAAGUCUCUUGUGUUUUAAUACUGCUUUUUUUUUUUUUUAAGUCUAUUUGAUUUACCUUCUAUGUGCUUUUCUCAGCUGUCAUAUUGAAUAGCCUGGCUAACCAUUCUUGCUGUGGCUAAAGUAAAAAAGAAAUGCUCCUACUGUUUGUGGGCCUUCCUGGCAGUCAUAUACUGUAUAUUUAUGUAUAAAUAAUCUAUAUGUAAAGCAAGGACUUUUCUAUAGUUUUGAUGAGAGCAGAGAAAAAAAAAUCCUAAGGCUUGCAUAAACUUCAGAAAUCCAAGGUAGUUUUUCUUGUUCCCAGAGCCUUCCCUUAGGGAGGAAUACAAUUUUAUUUUCACUAGAUAUAAAUUAAGUUGUAAACAAAGCAUCCAAAGAUUAGAAGGAAUUGGAGAGAUGAUUUGGUCCAAAUAUCUCAGAUGCCUGAAUCUCCUCUAUAAUAUUCCAUCAAUUGGUCAGAUAGCCAAU